rnacentral:lncRNA from 14 species
CGUUUGAGAAGCUAGAAUGGUGGACAGAUGCCUCUGGGUGUGCUCCGCUCGCAUCAUAAAGUUUUAGCUGAAGAUAAAGAACCCUUCAAAGGUUUUCCCACAAAAAUGCCUGCCUUGCUCAGCAGAGAGCAAUCAUGCUCUCAGAUGCAGGGGGCAGCUGGGAACACAGUGUUUCAUAGAAACCUGUUUUCCCACCCCAACGAAGAGGCACCCGCUAUCACCGGAUGGAAGGAGGAAGAUGAAGGCUGAACUGAACACAUUGCUGAUGAGGCCAGGGAUGCUGGGUACCUGGGACCAGAAACAGUGCAGCUGUCACCACCCUGGGGCCUGAAGGACUGGCAGGAUUGUCAGAGUCUGAUAAGAGAUGAGUUAUGUUAGGGUAACCUCCCAUAGGAGGGCGGCUUAUGGGAGUGGAGCACCAGCAUCUGUAGACUGGGGGAGGGUGGAAGGAGCUGGUGGAAUCAGUGACUUCUUGGCUUUCCUGCCCUUGGAUGUCCUCGUGGUACCUCUGGUUGACCAGCAUGGAUGGUCCAUUCCAGAGACGCUGGAUGGUCCAGAGAGGAGCUGAAAAUGGAUGAGGCACACACAGCAUUUCCUCAUCGGCUUCUUCACUUUCGCUGUGGGAUUUCUCAGGUGAUUCCCAUUAUCUGAGCAGUUCUCUGUUGGCUUUCUCCGGUGACUGUAUGCCAAUUCCAUUUUUAUUUUUACAUGUAUUAUUAAAUACAAUAUUAUACAUAUUAAAUAUGUAUACAUAUAU